AGGCGUCAAGCUGAAUGGAUUCGCCUGCAAGCCGGCGGAAAACGUGACAGAGGCGGACUUCUUCUUCAAGGGGCUGGCCACGCCGGGCGCCACCAACAACACCAUGGGCUCCCUCGUGACCGGCGCCAACGUCGAGAAGAUACCCGGGCUGAACACCCUGGGCGUGUCCAUGUCCCGCAUCGACUACGCCCCCGGCGGGCUGAACCCGCCCCACACCCACCCGCGCGCCACCGAGAUCGUCUUCGUCCUCGACGGCACCCUCGACGUGGGCUUCAUCACCACCGCCAACAAGCUGAUAGCCAAGACCAUCACCAAGGGCGAAGUCUUCGUCUUCCCCCGUGGGCUCGUCCACUUCCAGAAGAACAACGGCGCGGUGCCCGCCGCCGUCAUCGCCGGCUUCAACAGCCAGCUCCCCG
rnacentral:lncRNA from 1 species